UACGGAGGGAGCUAGUGUUAUUCGGAAUUACUGGGCGUAAAGCGCACGUAGGCGGCUUUGUAAGUAAGAGGUGAAAGCCUGGAGCUCAACUCCAGAACUGCCUUUUAGACUGCAUCGCUUGAAUCCAGGAGAGGUGAGUGGAAUUCCGAGUGUAGAGGUGAAAUUCGUAGAUAUUCGGAAGAACACCAGUGGCGAAGGCGGCUCACUGGACUGGUAUUGACGCUGAGGUGCGAAAGCGUGGGGAGCAAACAGG
rnacentral:rRNA from 1 species